CCAAACUUGGUCAUUUAGAGGAAGUAAAAGUCGUAACAAGGUUUCCGUAGGUGAACCUGCGGAAGGAUCAUUAACGAGGAAGGGUCUCGACGGCCCGAACUCCCAUCCCAUGCGGAUUGAACCACCGUUGCUUCGGCGGUUUGCCGCCGAACGCCUAAACUCUGAUCAUCAUGUUGUCUGAGUCUUGAUAUCAAUCAAAAACAAAACUUUCAACAACGGAUCUCUUGGUUCUGGCAUCGAUGAAGAACGCAGC
rnacentral:misc_RNA from 1 species